CUCCAGUGAUGACUUAUGUUUUGUGCCAUGUGUCUGGGCCACUGAAUGUUCAUGAUGGAAUUGAGGAACUGAUGGAG